UUUUAGCAGAAAAUAAAUUGAAAAUAUGCCGGAAAGUCCUUUGAGAAAAAUUAAGCAUCGUGUUUUCUUUUCAAGCGAGAACAAGUCCAAUUGCAACUGUGGUGAUCUGACUGCUUCUAUGGAGCGCUUUGAGGCAUCGGUCACAGCUUCUAUGGAGCGCCUUGAGGCAUCUGUCACAGCUUCUAUGGAGCGCCUUGAGGCAUAAUUUACAGCUACUGUGGAGCGCUUUGAGGAAUCCAUGGGUGGCUUUUCUGCUGAUGUGUGCUCUUUACGGGCUGACCAUAAUAUAACUCAAGGGCAAAUGCAAGUGUUGGUCGAAGCCGUCGCAGAGCAAGCCGGCACCCUAAAAGGCCUGGUGAGGCAGCAUGGACAGGGAAAACAAUGUUACAAUCUUUCCCGGUACCAUCUGUCCAGGGACUGGUACAGAUGGACAAAGAUAUAAACAGCACAAACAGAGAU